rnacentral:rRNA from 1 species
GACCGUGCUAAGGUAGCAUAAUCAUUUGUUCUUUAAUUAAGAACUGGAAUGAAAGGGGUGACGACGCUGAAGUUAUUAUAACAUUCAAGGGAAAUUGAUAUUUGCUUCAAAAAGAGCAAAUAACUGGGGGGACGAUAAGACCCUAUAAAACUUUUAUUUGAAAACUUGUUAUUUAAUUUAGAUUUCAAAAAUUAUAUUUGUUGAAUUAAGCUGGGGCGGCAAUUAAAAGACCUUAAAAAAUAUAACACUUGUUGGUGAUAGUUUAGAUCUUUAAAUUAAGAUGUAGAACAAGUUACUUUAGGGAUAACAGCACAAUUCUUUCUUAUAGACCGCAUAGAAGAAAGAGACUUGUGACCUCGAUGUUGAAUUGWARGGCCUGAGCUGAGUAGAAACAGUUUUAGGGGGUCUGUUCGACCUUUAAUUCUUCA